CAGGCUAGGGGUCUAAUCCGAGCUGUAGCCGCCGGCCUACACACACUGCCACAGCCACGCCAGAUCCGAGCCGCCUCUGGGACCUACACUACACAGCUCACAGCAAGGCCAGAUCCUUAACCCACUGAGUGAGGCCAGGGAUCAAACCCGCAGCCUCAUGGUUCCUAGUCGGAUUUGUUUCCACUGCACCAUGACAGGAACUUCCAAGUUUGACUAUACUUUAAAUUUAGAUUUCGAACUCUUGUUUCUGCUGAUUAUAUGCUUAAAUUUCUUUAUAUAAAAAAUUCUGUAUGAUUACUAUCUUUGAAGUUUAUGAGUAAAUUGGAAAGUUGGUUUGGGGAUUCUCUGGUUAGUUAAUUAAAAGGUAGAGCUAGUUCAGUAUUCCAGCUGUGUGUUUAGGAAUUAUUAACUCUGCUUUUUAAUUGGUCUUACCAAGUAUGGUGGGGAGAGUAGUGGGAACUAUUUAUUGUGGGCUUCGUAAGCUAGUGGCUGCAAUAGAGUCCAGUAUAUACAAUCUCAUUAUUUCUUAAAACAUUUAUUUAGAAUAGGUGAUAUUAACUUUUCCAUAAGUGAGUGUACAGAGGAGCCAAGAAAGACAUUUAAUAGUUUGCAACGCACAGUGAAAGACGGAAAUUCAGACAACUUUCUCUGAUUUCCAAAGCCGGAUUUUCACCACCACGUGUAAAGAGAUGACAUGGUGCGGGAAUUAAGGGCACUAACCUUACAGCCUGGGUUUGAAUCUCAGCAUUGCCACCAGCUUUGUAAGCUUGAUGGCGUUUUAGAUAUUUCUGCCUUUUUCUUCUUCUGUUAAAUGGGAAUAAUGGAACCUUCUCAUAGGGUUACUUUGGUAAACGGAUGAAAUAACAUUUGUAGAGUUCUUAAAACUGAGCCUAACCACUUUAUAAUUAAGUAAAUUACUUAAGUAAUUAAGUACAUUGUUUGAAAUCCUUUUUUCUUUUUUUUUGCCACACUUGUGGGCUAUGGAAGUUCCUGGGCCAGCGAUGGAAUCCGAGCCACAGCUGCAACAACUCUUGGUCCUUAACCCACUGCAACAGCCAGGGAUUGCAGUGGCCCGAGCCACUGCAGUCAGAUUUUUUUUUUUUUUUUGGUCUUUUUGGGCCGCACCUUUGGUAUAUGGAAGUUCCCAGGCAACGCCGGAUCCUCAACCCACCGAACAAGGCCAGGGAUUGAACCCGAGUCCUCACGGACACUAGUCUCAUUCUCAAGGAUACUAGUCAGGUUCGUUACCACUGAGCCACCACGGGAACUCCUACUGUCAGGUUCUUAACCCACUGCCACAGUGGGAACUCCUGAAAUUGUCUUUAAUGAACAUCCUUUUACCAAUUGAGUGAAAUUCGGUGAAAUCUGAACAGAUUGUUCCAAGUGGAAUUUGGAGGUUUUUGUUUUUCUUUUUCUAGAUACUACUAUUCUCUUGACUCUUGUUUAUUUGAAUCAGGAUUCAGGUCCCACACACUGUAAUUGACCAAAACUCUUUCAGGCCUCUUAGUUUGUAUGUUUCUUUUUCUUUUCUUUUUUCUUUUUUGCUUUCACUUUUUUUUUUCUGGUUUGUUCAGUGAUUUUUUUUCCUCUGUUUUGUUGUUGUUGUUUUAGGGCCACACUGGCUGUGGCCUGUGGAGGUUCCCAGGCUAAGGGUCCAAUCAGAGCUGUAGCUGCUUGCCUACACCACAGCAGUCAGGAACCGAGCCAUGUCUGUGACCUACGCUAUAGCCACUGCAUCCUUAACCCACUGAGCAAGGCCAGGGAUCGAACCCUCAUCCUCAUAGAUACUAGUUGGCUUCGUUAACCACUGAGCCAUGGCAGGAACUCACAGUGAUUCUCAUCUAUAUCAUAUUCGCAGAAUUUAUUGAGCAUCAUAGAGUAAUUGUGUCAGUUAUUUAUCCUCCUUCAAUAUGUGUGUAAAUAGUGUUUGGUUUGAUUGUGUGCCCGAUUCUUGUUAGCUUUUCCAGGUAGUUUGUUUGCUAUCCUGUUUUUCCUACCUAGUAUAUACUUAAUGUAUUAUAAAAUUGAACUAAACAUCCUGGGUUUGCAGCGUCUUUGGUUACUAGUGAAUAGUUUUCUCAGCCUUUUUGGUCUGAAAAUUUCUCUUCUCAAAACUGCAUUUUUGGAGUUCCUGUUGUGGCGCAGGGGAAACAAAUCCAACCCGUGUCCAUGAUGAUGCAGGUUCGAUCCCUGGCCUCAAUCAGUGGGUUGGGUAUUUGGCAUUGCUGCGAGUUGUGGAGUACGCUGGCAGCUGUAGCUCCGAUUCAACCCCUAGCCUGGGAACUUCCAUAUGCCAUGGGUGCAGCCCUAAAAAGCAAAAAACCCCAAAACAGAACAAAACAGAAAAAAAACCUGUCUUUUUUUUUUUUUUUUUUUUCUAUUAAGCAUUUUACUCUUGACAUUUAUUAAGUACUCACUAUAGACCAGACACUUUUUUUACUUCCCUGGCAAAACAUCUAGGCACUAUUCUUAUAUAUAUUUACUCAUUUAAUCAUCAACCUCCAAGUUACAGAUAGGGGUUUGAAGCAGAAAGUUGAAAAAGUUGCCUAAAAUCACGCAGCUCGUAAGUGUCAGAGCCAGCUAGAUCCAGAGUCUGCUCUUCUAACAAGUUUGGAUUGGAAUAAAAACAUGUUUUGUUUUGUUUUUUGUGUUUUUUUUUUUGCUAUUUCUUGGGCCGCUCCUUCGGCACAUGGAGGUUCCCAGGCUAGGGGUCGAAUUGGAGCUGUAGCCACCGGCCUAUGCCAGAGCCACAGCAACGCAGGAUCCGAGCUGCGUCUGCGACCUACACCACAGCUCACAGCAACGCCGGAUCGUUAACCCACUGAGCAAGGGCAGGGAUCGAACCCGCAACCUCAUGGUUCCUAGUCGGAUUUUUUAACCACUGCACCAUGACGGGAACUCCUAAAAACAUGUUUUGUGAUAUAGUAGUCACUACUAUUAAAUCUCUUGGCGUUCCCGUGUGCCUUAGUGGUGUGGUCACUGCAGUGGCUUGCGUCACUGUUGUGGCACAAGUUCAGUCCUUGCCUGGCCCAGGAACUUCCACAUGCCACAGGUGCAGCCAAAAAUAAAUGAAUAAAUAAAAAAUAAAUCUCUCAAUUAUAAACACUUACAGUUUUUAUAAAUGUGACAAAUCGCCUAUUUACUUACCUUGAUAAGAAAUUGAAGCCUUCAGAAUCAGUGUAGCUGCAAAUAUUUGGUAAAAGCUACCUCUACUGAAUGGUUGGUUUGUAGUUGAUAUAAUAACUUUUGGAGCAAAUGCUAUGAAAACAUUUUUGCUAUUUAAGAUACUUGUGUAAAUUUAAUCCACUGUCUUGUCUGAGUCUUACAGCCAGAAUUUGAUGUGUCAGAAUGUGUCAGGUGAUAAACUUGUAUCAGUAGGCUACUUUUGUCACUUCCUAUGCUUAUUUUGAACUGUUGUAAUUUAGGUAAAUUGCCUUUUUAUUAGUGGGAUACUGCAUAGGUAUGGUUGUACCAAGUGCUUGUGACCUUUGAAUGGCAAAAUAAUGGAAAGGAGAUAUUCACUUGAGAAGGGUUAUCUUUAACCAUUUUGUGCUCUGUGAAAUUACUUUCAGGAAACCUUUUUUGGAAAAUGAAUCCAAAGAAGGCACAAUGAUUAAAUUUAUUAGUGAUGGGAAGAUUGGCAAGAUUCCUGUGUUGGACAUUCUACUAAUUGGGCUUUAAAGUUGUCCGUUUAUCUGUUUACCAUUUUAACCCCAUUCUGGUACUGCCUUUUUGUUAAUCUGAGUGGGAGAGGGAGCUGGAAAGGACAUGUAAUUUAAAGUUUGUAUGCAAACACACAUUCGCUUUCAGUCCUGGGCCCCCUUUCUAGCUGUGACCCAACCUCUGCCAAUCCAAACACACUUGACCGGGGACUUGAACCUGGAGUGAGAGAGAUACAAAGGAACAAGGACAGUUCAGAAUUUAUUUCAGUGGCUGUGGCAAUGCUAGUUUUUAGCUGUUUUCUGACUCUUCCUGUAUAUUUUAUGACCUUGGUUGGUGGUUUUGACUGCUUAACUUUACUUGAUUUUUACAGGUGUGCCAAAUCAUUCAGUUUUUGAACUCAGUAUCCAUCCUGCUGAUAAUUCCUUUUCUGCUUAAUCUACCUGAAAAGGUUUCUUUUUUUAACCAAGGACCCUGGUUUUUGGGGGUUUUUUGGGGGGAGGGGUGUCUUUUGAGGGCCACACCGGAGGCAUAUGGAAGUUCCCAGGCUAGGGGUCUAAUGGAAACUGUAGCUGCUGGCCUACGCCACAGCCAUAGCAAUGUGGGAUCUGAGCUGCAUCUGCAAACUACUCACAGUUCACGGCAACACCUGAUUCUUAACCCACUGAGGGAGGCCAGGGAUUGAACCCUCAUCCUCUUGGAUACUAGCUGGGUUCCUUACCACUGAGGCACAACAGGAACUCCCAGUAUGGUAUAUGUGCUGCUGAAGUACUCACCUACUUCGAGUUUUUAAAAGCAGUAGUUUUCAACCUUUUAAAAUGUAUCUGGGGGUAGGAGUUCCCCUCAUGGCUCAGCUACAGAUAGACAGACAGGUAGCCGGGGGCCAUAUAUGUAAACAGUAAAUCUUCCCCCAUUCCAGCAAGAAACUAAUUUGCGUGGUACUACUUUGUACUAAGACUUCCUGGUUCCCCCUUAAGCUCCAGGAGUUGUCACUGCUGUGGCUCUGGUUACACCUGUGGUGCAGGUUCACUGACCCAGGAACUUGUUCAUGCCA
rnacentral:lncRNA from 1 species